GAUUUGUAUUGUUUCUUCUUUUUACUAGCUUUUUGUUUUUUAUGUUUUUCAAAAUGGGUUGUGAUUUGCUGAUGACAACUUUAGGUUGUGCAAGAAGGUGAUGGUGAUGGUGGGUUGUGAUUGCAUUUGAAUAUCGGUAUGGACUUGGAAUGCAGUUAAUCGCGUGGAUGGUGAAAUUAGAUUAAAGAAAGACAGUAUGUAUGUGAGAACGGAGCAGGAUGGAUUGGUCUAGUAAGAAGGAGAUGCUAGCUAGCUGUGAAGGUUAAAAUUAUGAACCAGAGAGAUUUAGAGGACGACCCCUGUAAUCAUGGGACCGAGAGGUUGGGUUAAGUUGUGCUGGUUAAUUUGGCUUAUGUAUACUGGAAUUGUUUGAUGAAAUUUCAGGUUAGGUUACUCCUUUUCUUUCUUUCUUUCUGUCAUUUUUGCCUUCCUAAUAAGCCAAAUUUCUGUGUUUUUAUUUUUUCUAACAAGCUUUCAAAGUCCACCAGGCUUCAAAAUGGGUAACCUUCUAUUGAAGUACUUGGGUGUUCCUGUUAUCACUGGUAGACUUAAAUCUGCAGAUUACCAGGUGCUGGUUGACAAGAUCACACAAAGAUUUCAGCACUGGCGUCAAAACUUCUCUCUUUCGCCGAGAUACUUCAAGUGAUCUCCACUCUUAUUUUUAGCCUUCAAACAUACUGGUGUUGCAUAUUUAUUCUCCCAGACCAGUUAUCAAAAUUAUUGAAAGAAAGUUUAUGUAGUGCAUGUCUUUGAAAUGGUAAUGAUGAAUUUUCUGUUGGGAUUGUGUUGCUCUUCCUAAUAAGAAAUAGGGAUUGGCUAUUAGAAAGAUCAAAUAAUGGAGUUAUGCUUGUGUAAUGAGAUUAGAAAGUUUAUAUAGUGUUUGGAACAUGUUUCUUCAAGCAGGUUCUCUAUGGGCAGCUUGGUGUCAAUGGCAACGUUUUGAAGGAGAGAAGCAUCUGGAGCCUCAAAACUCCUAAUGACAGUACACGAGGAACUGGAGGAAAUUAUUGAAGAUAAGGAACCUUGUAUGGACGCAAUUUCAACUUCUUGUUGGCAAUAGGCGAAAUACUUUUCUUCCAAACCUCAUGGAGUGUGGUUAGUGAUGAAGUGGUUGAUGCUGUUUUGAUUUUUUUUUUCAAUCUGGUAAGCUUUUAAAAGCAAUCAAUGCAACUUUUCUAGCUCUUAUUCCUAAAGAUCCCAAUGCAAACAAAGUCUCAGAUUUCAGACCUGUUUCCUGCCGCACAACUUUGUACAGUGUAUCUCUAAGAUUAUAGCGAAUAGACUUGUAAUUGUCUGCCCUUUCUCAUUGGCAGCAAUCAGAAAGCUUUUCUAAAUUGUAGGAGAAUUGGUGAUGAUGUUCUCCUCUCUGAAGUAAUAGAAAAGAGCCAUCAUAGAAGCUUUUUCAUCCCA